rnacentral:rRNA from 1 species
AAACCAACCGGGAUUGCCUUAGUAACGGCGAGUGAAGCGGCAAAAGCUCAAAUUUGAAAUCGGCUAACAAGUCGAGUUGUAUUGUCUAGGUUUUUUCUUGAGAAUUUUGGUUUAAGUCAGUUGGAACACUGCACCAUUGAGGGUGAUAGUCCCGUAUUCCAUUUCUCAUUGUAAGAAAUUUCCGAAGAGUCGAGUUGUUUGGGAAUGCAGCUCUAAGUGGGAGGUAAAUUCCUUCUAAAGCUAAAUAUUGGCGAGAGACCGAUAGCGAACAAGUACUGUGAAGGAAAGAUGAAAAGAACUUUGAAAAGAGAGUGAAAAAGUACGUGAAAUUGUUAAAAGGGAAGGGUACUGAAUUAGACUUGGUUCUUCAGUUCAGCAGUCUUUCGGGACUGUGUAUUUCUGUUGAGCUAGGGCAAGAUGGGAUCUUUGUGUAGGAAAAAGCCUUAGGAAUGUGACUCUUCGGAGUGUUAUAGCCUUUGGUCAUACUACCUCAUUGGUCUCAGGACUGCGCUUUUGCUAGGAUUUUGCCGUAAUAAUUCAGUACCGC